rnacentral:rRNA from 1 species
AACGCGAAGAACCUUACCUACCCUUGACAUCCUAGGAAUCUGGCAGAGAUGCUGGAGUGCCGCAAGGAACCUAGAGACAGGUGCUGCAUGGCUGUCGUCAGCUCGUGUUGUGAGAUGUUGGGUUAAGUCCCGUAACGAGCGCAACCCUUAUCCUUAGUUGCCAACAUGUAAUGGUGGGGACUCUAAGGAGACUGCUGGUGAUGAACCGGAGGAAGGCGGGGACGACGUCAAGUCAUCAUGGCCUUUAUGGGUAGGGCCACACACGUGCUACAAUGGGACGUACAGAGGGAAGCCAACCCGCGAGGGGGAGCCGAUCCCACAAAGCGUCUCGUAGUCCGGAUUGGAGUCUGCAACUCGACUCCAUGAAGUUGGAAUCGCUAGUAAUCGCGAAUCAGAAUGUCGCGGUGAAUACGUUCCCGGGCCUUGUACACACCGUACGUC